rnacentral:sRNA from 1 species
UAAGAGGUUCGACUCGAGCGUAGCGAGAGAACGUUGCGUCAGCAACGGCCCGCGGGGCGAGCCACGUAGUGGCGAGUAAUCCUCUAUCACCGACCA